GGCAUAAAAAAAUUUCACUGGGUACAUCCAUAUUUAUUUCCAGAGUCCUUAAAAGAAUAGAAAACCCAAAUUCCAAAUAUCCGAUCGUUUACGAACAUUUUGGUCAAUUACUAGAAAACUCUGCUUGUGGCAACCAGGGUUAGUACAUUCAUAAAAGCACUCAGGGACUUUGUCCCAUUGAUGUAUUCUUACAAUUGGCGUGAAAACAGGUCACCAUUUCAUGAAUAAAAACUCGCCACAAAACAGAAUCGCAAUCUGCUUCUAGUUCAAAGGGUGUCGUUCAAUACAGGAGAUGAUCAUAGAGAUCUGAUGAUUGUACAACACCAAGAAUUUAGUUUCAUCCCGUGAAAGUAACUAACUGUUGAAAAAUCAUUUUCUUCGCUUAUUAAGGGCAAAGGCAUGUUUUCACACAAUAUGCGUUUCACAAUUUGACUGAUCUAAACAUAUGGUGUAACCUUUUAUAGUUUGUAUUUUCCAGUUGUAGGAAACAAUAAAGAUAUAUAACACAUUGCACUUAUAUACCAAAAACCCAUUUAUAGAUAUAUUAGAUAAUUCAGGUCUGAGGCCCACAGAGACAGCAAGAAAAUGCCGGCCAGAUGAUCUAGUAAAAACUACAAGCAAACAUAUGGUGUAACCUUUUAUAGUUUGUAUUUUCCAGUUGUAGGAAACAAUAAAGAUAUAUAACACACCUUGAAGAAUUACUCCCAAGAGAAAAAGCUUAAUGGUCCUCAAUAUAACUUUCUUUGUAGCUGCUGAUUUGUUAGGUACUUUCUGUGUAGAAAACAUGAACACGCUUUUACCAGUUGACUUAAAACAACAAGAAUAGCUUCAGCAUUAGAGACAUCUACUCUUAAUCUGAAGUCAAAAAGACCAUCAAUAUAACAUGAACUACUAAAUAAGAUGUAAGGAAAGGCUUUAUGUUGGGAAAUCAUGUCUUUUCCCUUAUAUCUCGUUCUUUCCAACAAGUUGGAGCAUUAACAAAUUCCUUCCUUAUAAAGAAUCAAAAGAAUUCAAGUGAGAAUUGUCAAUACCUUGAACACAAGACUCACAGAGACACCAACACCAAAGAGAAAAAACGGCAUCACAAAGUCGGCGAUUGUCACUCCGAACCACGGUGCGUGGUUUAUCGAUGGAAAAGCUUUUCCAGCAUCAUCAACUAAAAUCAUCAGCUGCCAACGAAAGGGUAAACGAGAUUACAAAAGAACUUUUAAACACUAAAGUAAAAGAUGAACUAAUAACAAAUAGAGAAAUAGUUAUCUGAAGUAACCGAAAUUCAUCGAGUGCAUUGAAAUUAAAGAACGAAAUGAAAUGAAAGCAUAAUUUUAUUAAAUACAAUCAAGGUGACAUACCGCGAUAGUGAUGCCUCGGAAAACGUCGAGAGAGACAAGUCGUUGUUUAGGAUCAGUUGAAAUAUUAGACUCUGAUUUAUCUGGUAGCUCCUCCACUGGCGCCGUCGAAUAGACAGUUUCUCCGUCUCUGACCGUCACAUCUCCCCGCGAAUCCUCAGGUUGUGAGUUCUGAAGUAGAGGAGUGCGGUCUCCGCCGUCGGUGUCUGUUACCACCACGAUCGAGGCCAUCUUUUUUUGGCCAGUCCCACCUGUGUCAACGGUCAAUUUGAGGGCACACCCCUCUGCGCCUCUUCAGUUUGACAAAGUUUAGUUAAAAAAUUGAAUGUUAAUUCUAUUUUAAAUUUGAGAGUGCCGUAAUUUUAAAAAUGUACAAUUGAGUGAAUGUAGUUUUAUAAACCGUGCAGUAUACUUCCUACAAUAUCUUACUUUUGUUUUUUGGCACGGAAGUCCCCAAGUUACGUAUUUUGGUGUGCAAUUGGUUUCCUUUACAAAGUGGCACCAAGAUCCAAAAAAAUUAUUGUCUCUAUGUUUAAUGGAGAUUUCCCGCAUCUAUUGCAACUUGGUCGACAAUACAAUUCUUGAACUUUUAACCUAAAACACAUUUCAACUAGAAACUAUCCAAAUUUUUGAUGCUACCUCAAAUUUCGUUGAUAUAAAGGGUAAAAAUUAGAUACGAAGGCUCGGAUUUUGAAAUUUAAUGGAUUUAGGAGAAUAAAAUAAAUUAGGGCACAUUCUCACCGCUCGUGGAUUACAAUUUUGCUUACAAGAACGGUGAUUUGACGAAAAUCUUCUUGCUGAUUUGUUUUUGCAACGUGUUUUCCAAUUUGUGAAACAGAUUAUCAAUUUUCCCCAAAUUUGUGAUUUGACGUAAUUUUCAGUUUGCCCCCUCCUUUUAGUGCAAUUGUCAAGGUUUUUACCUGUUUAAUUAUCAAACUGAAUAAAAUUUCACACCUAGUUUGUUGAAAAAUUAGAAAGGGGUGUUCGAACCCCCCUAGUCAGAAACAGAGGGUACAAAAAAAGGCAUAAAAAAAUUUCACUGGGUACAUCCAUAUUUAUUUCCAGAGUCCUUAAAAGAAUAGAAAACCCAAAUUCCAAAUAUCCGAUCGUUUACGAACAUUUUGGUCAAUUACUAGAAAACUCUGCUUGUGGCAACCAGGGUUAGUACAUUCAUAAAAGCACUCAGGGACUUUGUCCCAUUGAUGUAUUCUUACAAUUGGCGUGAAAACAGGUCACCAUUUCAUGAAUAAAAACUCGCCACAAAACAGAAUCGCAAUCUGCUUCUAGUUCAAAGGGUGUCGUUCAAUACAGGAGAUGAUCAUAGAGAUCUGAUGAUUGUACAACACCAAGAAUUUAGUUUCAUCCCGUGAAAGUAACUAACUGUUGUCCUGCAUCCACUGCACCCAAUUAAAGCUCUUUUAGAUACAAAUUUUCCUUUACCUAUUGAUAAAGAACACACAAUCAAAAUGAAAAUGCAACCCUGAACGUUCACUCUGCUUAAAUUGGCCCAUGUUUAGUUAUCUAUAGAUUAAUAAUGGUGGAUCAGAAGAUGAUGAAAGGUGCUUCUAAAAACUGAGGUGAAGAUUGGUCUGAGGGGUUCGGACUAAUACAUGGCAAAGCCGUUCCAUAUUUUGAAGUGGCUAACUAACUAGUUUAGACCAACAUGCAAUUGUAGUCCAACUUAAGAGAGUAACAACAGAGUCCCAGAUAUCCACAAGGCAAAAUAGGAUCGGGAGCUUGAGAAGCUAAGCGUUGCACUUAUAUACCAAAAACCCAUUGAUAGAUAUAUUAGAUAAUUCAGGUCUGAGGCCCACAGAGACAGCAAGAAAAUGCCGGCCAGAUGAUCUAGUAAAAACUACAAGCACUAUGAAACAAGAGGUCUUCCAUUCCAUAGGGAUAUAUGCAUCUGAGGAUAAAAGGGCGAAAUACCCUUAAUUAGAAAAUGCAGACAAGCAUGCUUGAACGCGUUGGAUUGCUUGUCCAUGGCUCAAGAUUGAUGGACAAAAUAUAAAGGCAAUAAAACUGUAUAGAAAAGUAUGGAGUUACUCUAGCUCAAUUCAUGUUCAGCUUGAUCUACGGACAGCUUAAGAUUGACCAGUCAGGAAUUUAACCAAGCUCAACCUCAAUCUCAAACUUAUUAAGUAAAUCAGACUAAGCCUUAACCUACUGUUUUUCUUGGUUAGAUUUGCUUACCCUCCACGCAAAACCCCAAAAAGAGGAGUUAAUGAAUUUAAUCAGGAGUUAAUGAAUUUAAUCAUGCAAAGGGGAAAAAAUAAAUAAAUAAUUUGAUAAAUUGAAGUACCUUUAUAACCUAGGAAUGAUGGACUCAUUAUGAGUUCCACAAUUUUGAUGCUACCUCAAAUUUCGUUGAUAUAAAGGGUAAAAAUUAGAUACGAAGGCUCGGAUUUUGAAAUUUAAUGGAUUUAGGAGAAUAAAAUAAAUUAGGGCACAUUCUCACCGCUCGUGGAUUACAAUUUUGCUUACAAGAACGGUGAUUUGACGAAAAUCUUCUUGCUGAUUUGUUUUUGCAACGUGUUUUCCAAUUUGUGAAACAGAUUAUCAAUUUUCCCCAAAUUUGUGAUUUGACGUAAUUUUCAGUUUGCCCCCUCCUUUUAGUGCAAUUGUCAAGGUUUUUACCUGUUUAAUUAUCAAACUGAAUAAAAUUUCACACCUAGUUUGUUGAAAAAUUAGAAAGGGGUGUUCGAACCCCCCUAGUCAGAAACAGAGGGUACAAAAAAAGGCAUAAAAAAAUUUCACUGGGUACAUCCAUAUUUAUUUCCAGAGUCCUUAAAAGAAUAGAAAACCCAAAUUCCAAAUAUCCGAUCGUUUACGAACAUUUUGGUCAAUUACUAGAAAACUCUGCUUGUGGCAACCAGGGUUAGUACAUUCAUAAAAGCACUCAGGGACUUUGUCCCAUUGAUGUAUUCUUACAAUUGGCGUGAAAACAGGUCACCAUUUCAUGAAUAAAAACUCGCCACAAAACAGAAUCGCAAUCUGCUUCUAGUUCAAAGGGUGUCGUUCAAUACAGGAGAUGAUCAUAGAGAUCUGAUGAUUGUACAACACCAAGAAUUUAGUUUCAUCCCGUGAAAGUA
rnacentral:lncRNA from 1 species